CCUACGGGUGGCAGCAGUGGGGAAUAUUGCACAAUGGGCGCAAGCCUGAUGCAGCCAUGCCGCGUGUGUGAAGAAGGCCUUCGGGUUGUAAAGCACUUUCAGCGGGGAGGAAGGCGGUGAGGUUAAUAACCUCAUCGAUUGACGUUUCCCGCAGAAGAAGCACCGGCUAACUCCGUGCCAGCAGCCGCGGUAAUACGGAGGGUGCAAGCGUUAAUCGGAAUUACUGGGCGUAAAGCGCACGCAGGCGGUCUGUCAAGUCGGAUGUGAAAUCCCCGGGCUCAACCUGGGAACUGCAUUCGAAACUGGCAGGCUAGAGUCUUGUAGAGGGGGGUAGAAUUCCAGGUGUAGCAGUGAAAUGCGUAGAGAUCUGGAGGAAUACCGGUGGCGAAGGCGGCCCCCUGGACAAAGACUGACGCUCAGGUGCGAAAGCGUGGGGAGCAAACAGGAUUAGAUACCCCGGUAGUC
rnacentral:rRNA from 1 species